GACGAACGCUGGCGGCGUGCUUAACACAUGCAAGUCGAACGGAGUGGCGAACGGGUGAGUAACACGUGGGUGACCUGCCCUGCACUUCGGGAUAAGCCUGGGAAACUGGGUCUAAUACCGGCUAGUGUGGGAUGGGCCCGCGGACUAUCAGCUUGUUGGUGGGGUAAUGGCCUACCAAGGCGGCGACGGGUAGCCGUCCUGAGAGGGUGAACGGGCACAGAGGGACUCGGACGGGGGCCAGAGUCCUACUGGAGGAAGCAGUGGAGAAUAGUGCGCGAUGGGCGGAGGGAGGAUGCAGCGACGCCGGGUGGGAGAGGACGGCUUUCCGGUUGUAAACGCCUUUCAGCAACGACUCGGUAGAGGGAGAGGAAGCACCGGCUAACUACGUGCCAGCAGCCGCGGUAAUUC
rnacentral:rRNA from 1 species